CGCAUGUGAACGGACUCGAAUCGUCGACCUCCCGUUUACUGGACGGGUGCUCUACCGAUUGAUCCACUCAGAACGC
rnacentral:tRNA from 11 species